rnacentral:rRNA from 1 species
CCUACGGGAGGCAGCAGUGAGGAAUAUUGGUCAAUGGGCGGAAGCCUGAACCAGCCAAGUCGCGUGAGGGAAUAAGGCCCUACGGGUCGUAAACCUUUUUUGCCGGGGAGCAAGGGACGGGACGCGUCCCGGCCCGGGGAGUAGCCGGAGAAACAGCAUCGGCUAACUCCGUGCCAGCAGCCGCGGUAAUACGGAGGGUGCGAGCGUUAUCCGGAGUUAUUGGGUUUAAAGGGUGCGUAGGCGGGCUUUUAAGUCAGCGGUCAAAAUUCGGGGCUCAACCGCGUCCGGCCGUUGAAACUGGGGGCCUUGAGUGGGCGAGAGGAAGGCGGAAUGCGUGGUGUAGCGGUGAAAUGCAUAGAUAUCACGCAGAACCCCGAUUGCGAAGGCAGCCUUCCGGCGCCCUACUGACGCUGAGGCACGAAAGUGCGGGGAUCGAACAGGAUUAGAAACCCGAGUAGUC